GGGGUUGUGGCUCAGUGGUAGAGUGCUUGCCUGUUAUGUGUGAGGCACUGAGUUAAAUUCUCAGCACCACA
rnacentral:tRNA from 1 species